rfam:Pteropus alecto contig27076, whole genome shotgun sequence.
GGUUCCGUAGCGUAGCGGUCAGCACGUCUGCUUUACAUUCAGAAGGUCCUGGGUUCGCGCCCCAGUGGAGCCA